AGUGCCACAGUCUGACCUUUGGAUGCUGAAAGUACCUAACAGGUCUACUCUGAGUCAACUAGAAACGGCCUCGUUGGGAACCAGAGACUGAGGACCCCUGUGCUACAGCACUGCGCGGAAUCCUGAGUCUCCCAGGCGAGGCUAGCUCUCGGGAUGGGAACCCAGUUGCGUUUUUUGACCACUCAGUUCCAGGAAGAUGGAGACAAAUUGGAGCAUGUUCAAAGCCGGGCGCCCGAGUGAUUAUGUGGAGAGAAGAUUGAUGGAUAGACAACGAUUAAAGCAGCCUUGGGCGUCUGAGCUGUCUUCUUCAGGUGCUUAGUCACAACAGCAGAAGGAAAGCUGACUGACAGUCAUUUGCUGUAUUUUAUUUUACAUCAAGCUUCGCUGUGUCUUCAUGUGGAAUUCAAGAAAGCACAGGGCCAAGGCCCCCGGAUUAGCCUUAUGUGGGACUCCCACAGUUAAGGCGCAGUCAUAAAUACUCGUUUGUUGAAUUAAGCUUUCCUGGCAAGCAAGAGAAGUGAAAGGUAUUCUGAAGCCGGGCUGGACACGCUGCCAAGAGGUGCCCUCCCACCUUGGAAAGUCAGUGUCACAAAGCCGUGUCACUUUGACUUUCUUUUUUUCUUUAUUUACCAUUCCAGUCUGAAGUGAGACUUGCAGCCACCGAGGUUGGAUUAUCAGUGUUCAUUGGCAUGAAAUUGCAAAAAAAAGUUCAAUUAUUUUGUUGAUUAAAUUCUUAAUGGUAUCCUAAA